GCCCAUAAGAGGGGAUACAUCCGGAAACGGUGCUAAUACCGCAUAGUUUUCUUGAUCGCAUGAUCGGAAAGGAAAGACGGCCUUUUGUGCUGUCGCUUAUGGAUGGACCCGCGGCGUAUUAGGUUAGUUGGUGAGGUAACGGCUCACCAAGACGAUGAUACGUAGCCGACCUGAGAGGGUGAUCGGCCACAUUGGGACUGAGACACGGCCAAACUCCUACGGGAGGCAGCAGUAGGAAUCUUCCGCAAUGGACGAAAGGUCUGACGGAGCAACGCCGCGUGAGUGAAAAGAAGGUUUUCGGAUCGUAAAACUCUGUUGUCAGAGAAGAACAAGUUGGAGAGUAACUGCUCCAGCCUUGACGGUAUCUGACCAGAAAGCCACGGCUAACUACGUGCCAGCCGCGGC
rnacentral:rRNA from 1 species